rnacentral:lncRNA from 1 species
CAUGACCAGACUUACAAUAUCAAAAAUCUUUAUCAUAAAAAAUAGUGGAAGAUGAGCUCGACAUUGUCAAGCUCAGUUGAAAAAAAUGAAAAAAAUAUACAGAAAAACCAAAUAGAAAUAAUUUGAAGAAUUUAGAUAGUAAAAAAAAGAUGAAGAAGAAAAACAAGAUUUGGAAAUUUAGGGUUAAAUUUUAGGAAGAAGAUGAAUAUAUAAGACAAUGGGGA